rnacentral:rRNA from 1 species
AGUUUGUCAUGGCUCGAGAACGAACGCUGGCGGCAUGCCUAACACAUGCAAGUCGAACGAAGCCUUCGGGCUUAGUGGCGCACGGGUGCGUAACACGUGGGAAUCUGCCCUUCGGUUCGGAAUAACAGUUAGAAAUGACUGCUAAUACCGGAUGAUGACGAAAGUCCAAAGAUUUAUCGCCGAAGGAUGAGCCCGCGUAGGAUUAGGUAGUUGGUAGGGUAAUGGCCUACCAAGCCGACGAUCCUUAGCUGGUCUGAGAGGAUGAUCAGCCACACUGGGACUGAGACACGGCCCAGACUCCUACGGGAGGCAGCAGUGGGGAAUAUUGGACAAUGGGCGAAAGCCUGAUCCAGCAAUGCCGCGUGAGUGAUGAAGGCCUUAGGGUUGUAAAGCUCUUUUACCAGGGAUGAUAAUGACAGUACCUGGAGAAUAAGCUCCGGCUAACUCCGUG